rnacentral:lncRNA from 1 species
AGAAGUGAGGUGUCAACUGAGUAGGCAUCCUACAGUCUACAAGCACAAUUUGCUGUUACUGGGCAUCGAAAGUCUGUAUUAACUCUUAAUUCCUUCUUACAAGAGCAGUAAUAAAAGAAUGUAAUCAGAUUACUAGCAAAGCUAAUAAUUUUGGUAAAAAUCCAUGGUUCACCCUCCUUGUACCCAUUUGCCUCUGCAGGUUUUACUAUGAUAGAGAAGAUUACAGGGUCUCACGCCUUUCACGCUGAAACUGCCCCCC